CGCGUUCGUGAUGGAGGCGUGGAGGAAGGACCUCGGGAUCGAGGACGAGGUGAUGCUGCUGUCCGGAUCUUGUGGACACGUGUCAUUAUCUCACCCCUCUCUCUCUCGAGACCAAAGCAUCCUCUCUCUUUCUCUCGUGUCUCCGCGACGACUCGACUCCAUCAACCGGCGACUCCAUCAACCGGCGACUCCGACGAUGACCUCUCCGCGACGACUCCGACUCAGAGACUCAUUCUCGUCAACCUCACGUCUUCCUCCGCCGCGGCGUCUUCUUCGCACACAAGUUAGGUUUAUGUUUUGAGAAAAAGUAAUAAAGCUUUCACCUUUGAGAAUUUGGUUCUUGACCCUUGUGGGAGCUUGCUUAAUUGAAGUUGUUGGUGUGGUGGUUAUUGAAGUCCUUCACUUUCUUCAUUUGUUGAGUCUGAUACUCUCGGUUUGAUAAUAAUCAAUGAUCUACUGAUUUUGGGAAUAUAUCAAAACCAUUUCUUUUGCUUUGAAAUUGAUCUUUAGUAAGUAAGGAUCCUCUAGUUUUUCAAGUGGGUUCAUUUCAAGGUCUUUUGGUGUGAUGUUUGUUUCUCACUAAAAAGUCUGAUCCUUGCAUGUUGGUCUUUGUUUAUCACCAAAUCACGUGUUACAACUUCUAUUGUGCUUAGUUAUUUAUUCUCAGACAAGAUUCAGAACAGUGGUCCCAUAUUUUUGUUUGAUUGAUUUAGUUGACAUGUUUGGCUUUUUCAUAAGGUAUAAAAAGAUUUGUUUUGGAGUGUUAAAGAUCUCGUAUGAAUGCUGGAUAUGGAAAGAGUUGGUGAGCUUAAGAGGCAUAGAGACGAGAUGAUGGGUCACUUUGGUGGUUAUCUGAAUGAUUUUCAAGAGUUUGAGCCUGUGGUAAGGCCGCCAACGAUGGAAUCAAACUAUCCUUUGCUGGAGAUUGAAGAGGUUGUGGCUGCUGGUGAUGAUGAAGCUGGUUCUAGCUCGUUCCGUGGGGUUAGUCAUCCUCCAGAGAAGCCAAGCAUAGCUGAGGAGCCUGCAACAUCUCUGUCUCCGUUCUCUACGGCUCGUGCAAAAUCUCUACAGAGCCAGAGACAAGGAGUUCCAAAGAGUUUUUGUAGACACAGCCGGAAAUUCGUGCAGCUACGUACCUAGUCUAGCUCAUCCUCAUGGAUCCUCCAAGCAAGACACAACCCGCAUAAGAUAUAGGAAAAAUAGAUUCAACUAGGUGGUGUUAUGCUCAUGUUUUUUUUUUUCUUGAACUUCUCACUUUUUUACAAGAAACGCUGAACAACACUCAUCAUACAAAUAAUGAAGAGCAACCUUAUUGCAUAGAACUUUAGAGGGGUUUACCGAGCUCAGAAGUUUGCGAAGCUCACUCACUCUCUUUGUCUGAAGUUUAUCUGCUUUUCCUGUUUUCGAUUCGAAACAAAUAUGAAGCUAAAAGAAUUUGUCUGAUUCUUGUCUUCAUAUCGGUCUCUUGAAUUAUAUUUACCAUGGAAGCUGUGCUUCUAUGCUCUAGGGUUGUUCCUCGUGCGACUAUUUGGAAUCGAACCGGAAACUUUCGUUCAGUCAUUUCAACAAACACCUUAAGUGCAAUUCGCUUCCUUACAGAUUCCAAAAAGACUCCAUUACUCCUCAGCUUUGAGCUAUUAAGGGUCCUUCAAGCUUGAGAUAUGCUCCAUUCUCAGGCAGAAAAGGUUCGUGUGUUCCGCCAAGAUGCUCGAUUUCAACCCCGACUGUUUUCAAUUCCGACAACCCUUUCCUGAGCUCACUGGUUGAUAAAGUUCGUCAGCUGAAAGUUAAGCCCUUGAAUGCUGUAAAGUUAACUCUUUUACUAUCAAUUUAAACUCUAGUUCCAAAAAGGUAGUGACUUUAGUCUUCAACCCCUUCUUCUGGAUGUAUUUCAGCUGGACAUGGCUGUUUCUGGCUUUGGUUUAUCGCUCUGUCUCUCGCGGGUUACGCCAUUCACUUCACCAAGCCAACGCCUUUGAGCAGCUUGGUACAGAACUUCACUCUUCACAUGGCUUACACUUGUGCCUAAUCUUGAAGGCUGCCUUUUGUGUUCUUCUUACACUUCUUCUUUUUUCAAUGUAACAGUUAGAAAACGCCUCUAUGGUCUAAGGUUUUGUUUGGUGUCCGUGUCAUGGUUGGACAUUGGCUUGCGGCUUUUGAAGGGCCUGAGCUUCACCGUUUAUCAGGCGGUUGGGUUAAUGUAGGGAUAUGGGGUUUGAUUGUGGUUACAAUGCUUAUGCAAUACGAUUCAACGUUGUAUCUUGCUAGAUAUUCUGAAAAGGUGGUUGUUCCAACGGCUGUUGUACAGUUUGGUCCUUAUAGAUGGAUUAUGCAUCCGAUAUAUGCUUUUACGAUUCUUCUUUUCGCGACGUACUUCAACGCUCUGCGGGCGUCUUUGAGUCUGUUGUUUCUUGUAGCGGUUUGUUUGGUGUACUACGACAAGAAGGCAAAGCUGGAGGAAGACUUAUGAUGGAGAGUUUUGGGAAAAGCUAUUUGGGUUAUGUUAAUAAGGUUAGCCACAAGUUCAUUCCUUUUGUUUACUAGUGCGUUAGUGGAACUUGUGUUGUUGUGUCUAAUUAUCUGGUAUCUAUCAGUCAAAGAAGUAUGAAUGAAAGAUGAGUUGUAUUGUUCCAUUUUUAUUUAAAUGUUGGGCUUAUGAAAAUGGAUAUGCUUUUAUGCUAUUCGUGGCUCCCCUUAAUUUUCUAAAUCUCCUGAUCUUAACUGAUUCCCUGACUUCAAAAGUAUAUGAAGACAUCCAGUUAAAAUCUAAAGAUGUUUACUUUCUGAGUGUUUUCGCCUUUACACGUAAGGAAACGCACAAGGAACAAUCCAAAUCAUGAUUAGUUUGAUAAAGUGACCAUUGUUAAAUCUAAUUAUAUUCCUAAUCCCACUUGUUCCUUACUAAUCAAUCAUGAUUAGUUUAGUAAAGUUCUUUCUGCUGAUUAACCUUUGAUUAGUGGCCCUUUGCAUCCCAUUAAGCAUCUCCACCUGGAAAUGUUUCUUUAAUUACUUAUUCAUAGUACUUUUGUGAAAAAAGGUUCGAGGUUUUGUGUAUAAAAACAUUUGAGUUCUUCAGAUAUUUCACAUGAAAAAAACAAACUCUUUAGCUUUGUCCUCUAUUCCUGACAGGCUGACACUUGUGCAGUGAAGUGGGCUUGUUUUGUAUUGAUGUGAUCUCUCUCUCUCUCUCNNNNNNNNNNNNNNAUGUUUCUAGUGAUGACGAGAAUGUCGAUGUAUCCGAUUGAUGUAUUUGUUUUAUGAAUAAGAUGAGGGAGUUUGUUUUAUGAAUAAGAUAAUGUGGGGUUUGUUUUAUGAAUAAGGUAAUGUGGGAGUUUGUUUUAUGAAUAAGCAAAUGUGGGAAUUGUGGUUUGGAAUAGAAAUAAAGAUGGGGUUUGGAAUAUAUGAAAUAGAAAAUAAGGAAUAUGGGGUUUGGGGUUUGGGGUUUCGGAUUCUAGAGAUUUAAACAUAACACUCGUUAAUUCCACGUAAGCCAACGAGGAAAUAACGACGAAAUUUAAAAUAAAGAUGGAUUUUGGAAUAUAUGAAAAUAAGGAAUAUGGAGUUUGGGGUUUGGAAUAUGGGGUUUGGGGUUUCAGGUUUCGGGUUUGGGGUUUAGAGGUUUCGGGGUUUGAGGUUUGGGGUUUCAGGUUUGGGGUUUGGGGUUUGGGGUUUGGGGUUUGGGGUUUGGGGUUUGGAGGUUUUGGGGUUUGAGGUUUGGGGUUUGGGGUUUCAGGUUUGGGGUUUGGGGUUUGGGGUUUGGAGGUUUCGGAUUUUAGGGAUUUAAACAUAAUACUCGUUAAUUCCACGUAAGCACAAAUCGUCGUAAAGACCAGGUAUAAGAAAUCGUCGUAAAUUCCACGUAGGCAGAUCCAAAGGCGUGGACGUCAUCGCGUGCGUCUCCGUGAACGACGCGUUCGUGAUGGAGGCGUGGAGGAAGGACCUCGGGAUCGAGGACGAGGUGAUGCUGCUGUCCGAUGGGAACGGAGAGUUCACGGGGAAGCUCGGCGUGGAGUUGGAUUUGAGGGAUAAGCCUGUGGGGCUCGGAGUUAGGUCGAGGAGGUACGCGAUUCUGGCGGAGGAUGGUGUGGUGAAGGUGCUGAAUCUUGAGGAAGGAGGCGCUUUCACUAACAGUGGUGCUGAGGAUAUGCUUAAAGCUCUUUGAUUCCGUUUUGUCUUAAGACUUUUGUUCUCUUUGUGUUGAAUUUUCUUCUGUCUUUUAAUUUUCUUGAAGCUUUCAGAUUCUGUGUAUCAUCGGAUCUGUAAUGGAAUAAAACAUCGGAGUCGUUUUUGUUUGUCGGAAUAUGUCUGUUUCGAAUUGUUGACUACUUUGGGUUACUCUUUUUAUGAGUGUUUGACAUUUUGUUAAUUGAUUGAGAAGUGCCAUUUCAGUCAGAUACCGAGAUUCCCACUACGUCUUUUGUAUACACCAAAACUUUGCGUGACUUUCUCUGAACAUGUACAGUUCAGCUUGUUUUAUGCAAACACCUAGGGCCUGUGCACAUUAGAGAGACCCAAAAGUCAUUGACUUUCGGAAAUGACGUUAGGUUGUUGGUAGCCGAUACAUACUUGGUAUAAUUGCUUCCUUAGAAAUCAGCGAUGCAUAUCUCAUAUUCAUUUCUUUAAAUCAGAUGCAUCAUCAUAUUCUGAAUCGAAAUUCUCAAUUCUAAUUAUAAUCAAACUAGUAAUCAAUAGAGAGCAUACAAAACUCUUAAAAAACAUUAUAACGUAUCAACAAUACACAUUCCCCCAUAUAGUAAUUUGAGAGGAUACAGAAAUAAAAGUAAACACAAUCGCUUGUGUUUACUUUGCAACCAAAGUUUCACUACAAAAUCACCUGCUAGCUCUGUGUAUGUUAGGUAUCGUGAUGCACGUAAAAUCGCAUGGUAGGGGUUAAGAGCACCGUUAUCGCAGGCUCUUAAGGCCCGUAUUUAGUGUUUUCAGAUUAAAAAAAAAAAUUUGGCUAAUCAGAGAGGAGACGUCGCUUAAUUAAGGCACACAAGAGACGGGAUCUUGUGGACACGUGUCAUUAUCUCACCCCUCUCUCUCUCGAGACCAAAGCAUCCUCUCUCUUUCUCUCGUGUCUCCGCGACGACUCGACUCCAUCAACCGGCGACUCCAUCAACCGGCGACUCCGACGAUGACCUCUCCGCGACGACUCCGACUCAGAGACUCAUUCUCGUCAACCUCACGUCUUCCUCCGCCGCGGCGUCUUCUUCGCACACAAGUUAGGUUUAUGUUUUGAGAAAAAGUAAUAAAGCUUUCACCUUUGAGAAUUUGGUUCUUGACCCUUGUGGGAGCUUGCUUAAUUGAAGUUGUUGGUGUGGUGGUUAUUGAAGUCCUUCACUUUCUUCAUUUGUUGAGUCUGAUACUCUCGGUUUGAUAAUAAUCAAUGAUCUACUGAUUUUGGGAAUUUAUCAAAACCAUUUCUUUUGCUUUGAAAUUGAUCUUUAGUAAGUAAGGAUCCUCUAGUUUUCCAAGUGGGUUCAUUUCAAGGUCUUUUGGUGUGAUGUUUGUUUCUCACUAAAAAGUCUGAUCCUUGCAUGUUGGUCUUUGUUUAUCACCAAAUCACGUGUUACAACUUCUAUUGUGUUCUAUUGUGCUUAGUUAUUUAUUCUCAGACAAGAUUCAGAACAAUGGUCUCAUUUUGUUUGAUUGAUUUAGUUGACAUGUUUGGCUUUUUCAUAAGGUAUAAAAAGAUUUGUUUUGGAGUGUUAAAGAUCUCGUAUGAAUGCUGGAUAUGGAAAGAGUUGGUGAGCUUAAGAGGCAUAGAGACGAGAUGAUGGGUCACUUUGGUGGUUAUCUGAAUCAUUUUCAAGAGUUUGAGCCUGUGGUAAGGCCGCCAACGAUGGAAUCAAACUAUCCUUUGCUGGAGAUUGAAGAGGUUGUGGCUGCUGGUGAUGAUGAAGCUGGUUCUAGCUCGUUCCGUGGGGUUAGUCAUCCUCCAGAGAAGCCAAGCAUAGCUGAGGAGCCUGCAACAUCUCUGUCUCCGUUCUCUACGGCUCGUGCAAAAUCUCUACAGAGCCAGAGACAAGGAGUUCCAAAGAGUUUUUGUAGACACAGCCGGAAAUUCGUGCAGCUACGUACCUAGUCUAGCUCAUCCUCAUGGAACCUCCAAGCAAGACACAACCCGCAUACGAUAUAGGAAAAAUAGAUUUAACUAGGUGCAUGGUGUUUUGCUCUUCUUAUGUUUUUUUUUUUUUUUGAACUUCUCACUUUUUUUUAAUUUCAACCCCCUUCAUACUUUUUUUAAGAUAAAAAUGUUAUAAGAAUUUAAUAAAUAAAUUUGAAAUUUAAUACAAUAAUGUUUAAAUUUUUUUUUUUUUAAGAAUCCUUAAAUAAGAAACUUACAAUGGACCACACAAAUAUAUCCGUCACUUAACUAAUUCUUUUUAACCCACUUUUCCAACUAAAAAUUAUUAAAAAAGAUUAAGAACCCUCUACGUGGAAUAAAAAUGUUCUAACAGUCACUAAAUAAAAGCAGGGGUACAUUUGCAGUAAAUUUGAAAUAUGUGGAUUUAAAAGAAAAAAGAAGGAGCGAACUACGACUUUUGUUUCUUUUCUUUUAAUAACGAAAGAUUCGACAGUCAAUCUCAAUCGCAUAAAGUUAAAUCAAACCAAACCUCACAUAAACACACCUUUCAUCUCUCCGCUCGCCGUCGAUCAUCUGAGAUCUCUCCACUCACCAAAGAUGCAUUCGAGCCAUCUCCUUCUCGAGGAGCCGAUCAGGAUGGCUUCUAUCCUCGAGCCAUCCAAAUCUGUAAACGAUCCACUGAUUUUCUUAGUUUUGAUUUCGCUCGUAAGAGUAUCUCUAAUCUCUCGUUUGAUGUAUCUUCCUCA
rnacentral:lncRNA from 1 species